UGUGUGUGUGUGUGUAUGCGUAAUACUGGUAGCAGAAGAGUGGCGUAGAGAGUUCCAAUCACAGACAUUGUGUGUGUGUGUGUGUGUGUGUAGUGUGUGAGUGUGUGUGUGUGUGUGC